UCACCGCUUGCGCGGGCAGUCUCAUUAGAGUUCCCACCAUUACGUGCUGGCAACUAACGAUAGGGGUUGCGCUCGUUACGGGACUUAACCCAACACCUCACGGCACGAGCUGACGACAGCCAUGCAGCACCUAGUUUCGUGCCCUUGCGGGAAGACUGCUUUCACAAUCGGUCACUAACUUUCAAGCCCGGGUAAGGUUCCUCGCGUAUCAUCGAAUUAAACCACAUGCUCCUCCGCUUGUGCGGGCCCCCGUCAAUUCCUUUGAGUUUCAAUCUUGCGACCGUACUUCCCAGGUGGAUAACUUAACGCUUUCGCUUGGACACGUACUGUAUAUCGCACACAUCGAGUUAUCAUCGUUUAGGGCGUGGACUAC
rnacentral:misc_RNA from 1 species